GCCACCAACACUCAGACCUCUGCCUGGCCUAUGCGACCUCUUCUGGGGUUGGGGUCUGUAGGCCUGGGGAGGGUUACAGAGAAUUACUCGCCAUAGCAAUGCCAGGCACUACUAUUUAGUUGUAAGUUUGGGGACUUUGUGGGUAAAUGCCUCUUGGAGUCUAGAAAGGAACUUAGAGGCAGCUCCUGCGCCCAACAUGCUGCCCCAACCACAUUGCCCUGGAAACAUUCCCAAGAGUGGUCAGAACCAGAUUUUAAUAUAAUAUGCAGCCCAUAAGGACCCUGCUACGCUGUUGAGUGGCCCCUGUUUCUGUUUGAGUCUGAUAUGGCUGCUCUGGUCCGACACCCCCAGUCAGCAGAUAAGAAACUGAGAUCCAAGACAAGAGAAGACUCGGCACGGGUCACAGGUACAACACACAGCCAAGCGUUGUAAGCCCAGUGCUUCAUUCAGCCUGCCAUCUUGGGGGUUGUAGGCCUCUCAUGGGGAAGUGCACAGCUUGCAUUUUCUCUAGGUAGGACUGGCCCUGACCAUGUGGGGAUAAUGAGGUUUCACAAAGAUGCAGGGUCCUAUCUGGAAGUGACCACAGAGUAGGGGGUUAUCUCUUGGUGACCUGUGAAUACCUCUAUGCCUUCAGCACCUGAAGUGAGAAGGGCACCUGUGGCUGCCUCCAGGCUUUCCUAAACAUUUCACUUAGGUGCACAGUGUUUUCUAUGUUUAUUUUCUUCUUUGGGACAAAACUCCCUGAAGGCCAAGUCUCUGCGUGUUGUGUGUGACCUGUAGUAGUCACCUCCUUGUGGGUGAGGAUCAGCGUCAGGAUAACAACCUCCAUGAAAACCAUCCCAAGGAGACCUCUCAGUGCCUUCCAUGGAUAGAGACAUGGAGCUGGACUGAGCCCUGUGUGGAGUCCUACAGGGAAGCCUGCAGGUGGAGGAACUCACAGCCCAUGUGGGGAAAUGAGCAGGAAGGAUACAUGUACGGUGCUUGACUGUGCAAGGCAGCCCGCAGAAAGAGACUGGAUAACCAGAACAGUUGUGUGCUCUUCCAGUGCAAUGUCUAAAAUUCCAGAAUAGUUUGGAAUGACUCACUGGGUCUUAUCCCACAAUAACAGGUGGAUUCCUGGUGCCUCACUCAAGG
rnacentral:lncRNA from 1 species